CAUACACACACACUGACAGACACACUCACUCACACACACUGACAGACACACUCACUCACACACACUGACAGACACACAUACUCACACACACACUGACAGACACACAUACUCACACACUGACAGACAGACACACUCACUCACACACACUGACAGAACCAUACAAACUCACAGACACACAUACUCACACACUGACAGACAGACACACUCACUCACACACACUGACAGAACCAUACAAACUCACAGACAC